CCUGUAGGAAUGAUGACUCAGUUUUUCCAGUGAUUUGAUUGGUCAGUGUUUGGCUGUUGACAGGUUUUGAUCCGAUCCUCUGAAGGAGGUUAGGAGUUCAGGAUCAGUUACCAUGGGGAUUUACCCUGGUAAGAAGUGAACCACCGUUGUAGGACUGAAAACCCAGAGUUAAACCUGAAGUUACCUCGAUAACCUCAGAUCCUGCUUCGUAGUACAGACCUCAGGAGUAACAUCCGCAGGAAGCAAUAACCAGGAGGAAUAUCCAGAGGCCCUGAGUUCACGUUCGAUUCUGGUACAUGAGCAAAUACAUUCAUAUGGCUGCCAGCAUAAAAUCAGUGUAGGCGGGAAAAGGUGCUGGCCUCUGCUAGUAUCAGACUUAACAUGCAGCUAUAUGACUAUUUCCUGUCAUGUACCAGUGUAAACUUAUUUAUAGAACCCGUCCAAAGUACCAGGAGAAAGUGUUUGUUCACUUUGUGCCAGCAUUAGUUUGCAGCUCUCCCAGGACAAGGUCUACUUCAACUGUGGCAGCAGUGAUUAAUGAGACUGAACCUGCCGGGCUCUCAGGCCGACCCUCGUGUAAGGACAUGAGCAGGUCCACACGGUCCCUGCUGAGGGGUAGAACUUCAGGGGAGGUGUGGCAGAAGUGGCAGCAGUCACAGUGAAGUGGUAAGAUGAAGAGGUGCACCAGGUGUGAACUGCAUUACCGUUGUAUCGAAACUUGUCAAGGUAAAUAACACCACACAGCUAUAGUUUCUGUUCCCAUCUCAGACCUCUGAUCUCUGCUACUCAGUGCAGCCAAGUGGUGACAAGUCCACACUGAAGACACCACUUCAUCUUUUUUCAAUAUCACCACAAUGUCUGAUGAAAUUCAUUGAGGGAUCAAUUGGUCAGUGAAUCAUUAACAUCUUUACAAGAUCAUGUUCAUCCAGUUUUAUCUAAGUAUUAUGUGACGGCACAGCAAUUUCAAUACAUUUAUAUUCAAGUAAAAUGUAAACAUACUGACUGAUAUCCAAGGUUAGAUCUGUCCAGAUGAUUAAAUGAUGAGUGAUGUUCUCUCUGUUUCCUGUCUUUAUUCUCAUGUUCAGACUCAAAGCAACACUGUGGUGUCUCUCCUACACUGACCUCUGACCUCUGAGCCACAGAGCUGCACUGUUUGCAGCAACUCACCACUGAGUCUCUGUUGAAUUGUUUAUUCACUACAGCACUAAAUGUGGAUUCAUUUCACCCUGUUUGAUAAAAGCUACAGGGAGCAGCUGUUUGUAAUGAAACUAAACGGUACUGAGGCGUCUCUCUGUGACUGAUUUUGGUCUGAGACGAAGUGAAGUCAGGAAGCACUAAGACUCUUUUUAUCCUCUCUGCUGUCUCCUGGGAGAGAAGCCAUUUUGUUUUCCUUUUUUUUGUUUGCUGAUGCAUAAAGAAAAUGACAAAUAAACUUAAAUCUAAAUAAAGA